CGCUGACAUCACUAACUAGCCAGUUCCCUCCAGCAGCACCAGAGAGCUUCAUUUUCUGAUCUGCUUUUGUGUUAAAAUGGAGGCUGGCUCCUUGCCUUAAGUGGAUUGCCUUCCUGGUCGAGUUUAGAUGUUGACAUGCACUAAAAGCUGGAAUCAGGAUGGUUGUGGAUGCACCUAAUUCCAAUGGGCCUUUCCAGACAGUGGCUCUUAUGCACUUCAGAGGCUUCUAUUGUGAAAGGGGAGAGAAUAAGAGCUGUUUCAAGAAGUGGUCAGGCUGAAAUGGAAUGCCAUCCGGUGAAGAUCAUCAAAGACUGUGCUCCGGCAGAGCAGGAGAAGCUGUUUGUGCAGAAGCUGCGCCAAUGUUGCGUGCUCUUUGACUUCCUGUCGGACCCACUAAGUGACCUGAAAUGGAAGGAGGUGAAGCGUGCGGCGCUGAGCGAGAUGGUCGAGUACAUCACCCACAACAGGAACGUCAUCACAGAGCCCGUCUACCCAGAGGUGGUGCACAUGUUUACGGUGAACAUGUUCCGAACGUUGCCUCCGUCAUCCAACCCCACAGGAGCAGAGUUUGACCCGGAGGAGGACGAGCCUACACUUGAGGCUGCUUGGCCACAUCUCCAGCUCGUCUACAAAUUUUUCCUUCGGUUUUUAGAAUCUCCUGACUUUCAACCGAACAUAGCAAAGAAGUACAUCGACCAAAAAUUUGUGAUGCAGCUUUUAGACCUGUUUGACAGUGAGGACCCACGGGAGAGGGACUUCCUCAAAACCACUCUCCACAGGAUCUAUGGGAAAUUCCUGGGACUACGGGCCUACAUCAGAAAACACAUCAAUAAUAUAUUUUAUAGGUUUAUCUAUGAGACUGAGCACCAUAAUGGAAUAGCAGAAUUACUGGAGAUACUCGGAAGUAUAAUCAAUGGGUUUGCCUUACCACUAAAAGAGGAGCACAAGAUUUUCCUGUUAAAGGUCCUGUUGCCUUUGCACAAAGUCAAAUCACUUAGUGUCUACCAUCCACAGCUGGCAUACUGUGUUGUGCAAUUUCUAGAGAAGGACAGCACUCUCACUGAACCAGUGGUAAUGGCCCUUCUCAAAUACUGGCCAAAGACUCACAGCCCCAAAGAGGUGAUGUUCCUCAAUGAGCUGGAGGAGAUUCUGGAUGUCAUUGAGCCGUCUGAGUUCGUCAAAAUCAUGGAGCCACUCUUCAGGCAGCUGGCAAAGUGUGUGUCCAGCCUGCACUUCCAGGUAGCAGAGAGAGCUCUGUACUACUGGAACAAUGAGUACAUCAUGAGUCUAAUCAGUGACAAUGCAGCCAAAAUCCUGCCCAUCAUGUUCCCGGCACUCUACCGUAACUCCAAGACCCACUGGAACAAGACCAUCCAUGGCCUCAUCUACAACGCUCUCAAGCUCUUCAUGGAGAUGAACCAGAAGCUGUUUGAUGACUGCACACAGCAGUUCAGAGCAGAGAAAAAUAAUGGUCCUCGACGGUAAAAACAACACAAUGAUUAAAAGAGAAAAGGCCAAGUCAAAAGAGAGGGAAGAGGCCUGGCUCAAGAUUGAGAACCUUGCCAAAUCCAAUCCACAUGUAGUGUGGUAAUGUUGAUAUUGGAUCAGAGUCCUAGUGAAAGUUCACAGGUUAAAAAAGACAGUAACGGAAGAAUCCACUCAGUUACAACAGAGAGACCAGAGAAAAGACCGUCCUCUGGUGCAUCGGAUCUCCCUCAGGACAUCUACACCGCAAAAGCCUUGGAGACCCAUCGUCGCGCCGAUGACAUGAUCACCACCCACAAUGGGCUCUAGGUCUGCCCCUCCUCUCUCUUCUCUUCUGUCCAGUCCCCUAAAGGAGUACCCUCGCCCCUUCACACCCCACCUCCCAACCCACACAGCACAUUCAGAAUACUGGCCCGGUUUCCCUAUCUCGCCAGUACACUGCCCCACCUCCCUCGGAUUUCUGCUUUCUCUGGUGUUUAUUUUGGGGGGAGGGUUGGGGCCGCAACUCUUUUAGCUGUCGGUCCUGCGGAGUCAUUGUUUUCCUUAUUGUUUCCGCUGAAUUGUGCAUAAAACAGUAUAUCGGCUCAUCCCUCCCUGCUCUUAUUGUAUGAAUGAAAAUGGGGACGUUUCGUUCCACCUGCGACAUGACAAGCUCAUGUGAAAUGCACAACAAACGUAGAGAGCAGAAACUGAAUGAGGGAGACUUCUUUUCUUCUUCUGUCUUCUGUUUUCUGUCAAGGGGAAACAACCAAAAACAGAUGGUUAGAUGGAGGGGUAGGACUGUUGGAUCGACUUUCCUGACUUUAUUUUUUAUCCCAGGGACAUCUGCCAGUGCCAUGACGGAUGUUUUGACAAUUGUUUUUAAUAAGCUGAAGAGCAACAGGGCUGUCUAAAGUGACUGAUCCAUCUGUUCUGAUGAAGUCACAUUGUGACAGGGAUUGAGAGAGGGAGGAAGUGAUGUUCUCUGUGGACACUAGACUCUUUACACUCUACAGUUUGUGCCAUAUAAAAGUUGUAUUUUGUCUUAUUUCCUUUCUCAUACCCAUCUGUUGAAUUCCAUCUGCAAUAUGUGAGCUGGAAAUUUCACAGUGAAAUUAUUGACAGAAAUAUUGACAGUUCAAACAAUGGUUUAUUUCAUAUAGAGAAACACAUUGGGUGGUUGUUAGUUUCAACCCUGUUUGUCAUACUCAAAGCCCCUCUUAGACAUUUCAACAUCUGUAGCCAGUUUUUACUGGAAUCACAAUAUGACACCUUACCUGGGGGUAUCACAUAAUGAGUAGUUAUUUGGGAUGCAAGAUGAUUUGUAGAUCAGUGUUUCUGCACAGCCUGACUGCAAUCUAGUCCAUCUUAAAUGCAUACCCCACUGGGCACACACUGGUUGAAUCAAUGUUUCCAUGUAAUUUCAAUGAAAUUAAGUUGAACCAAUGUGGAAUAGACAUUGAGUUGAUGAUCCAGGCUUCAGCAGUCCUGGAGCUACUUGCUAGUCAAGCAUUGACCUCCAUUCGUUUCAGAGGUACCCAUGAUAUCACUGGUCGUGUUCAUCUCGCACCCCCCCCCCCCCCCCCCCCCAGCAUGCUCACUAUUCCCCCUGUCGUUUUUUAAAUUUUUACCACCACCCUCUUAUCCAGAUGUGCUUCUCUGUGGAGCUGAAUGGACUAAGCAAAGAACAAAACAAAUUAUUCACUUCCAUAAGACAUCCUUUUCGAAGACAUCGGAGUGCUUUUUAUCAUGAGGAGAAAUAUGAAAGAAUUUUUGGCCCCAAUGAGGAGAAUAGCAACACUGUUUGGAUGGGAAAACCAUUUCAUGUGACGGUUAAAUGGCCAUAUGUGUCCAUUGCCAAUAAUAUAUAGUAGAGACCGAGCGGUGAUUCCAGACCUGAAUAACUCUUGGAAGUAGAUGAAUCGUGUAGUUGUUAAGAAAAAGUAUAUUGAACUACCUAAAAAGCACUUCCUGUAAACUUGAAAGAUGUGACAUGUUUGUGUAUAUUCAAAUGAAGCUCUGUAUCCCGUUGAGUAUAUAUGUACAGUCUAUUCUGCUUUCUCAAGUCAGGAAGCUGUCAAAUCCAGGAGUGUUUUGGACAUUAACAUUUACAAGUGGAUCGUCUCUUGAACCAUUGUUUGAACUUUUGUGUUGUCCCUGGUAACUUAUAGCCUGGAUGCUAGUUUUAGCAUUGUUGCUGCCAAUGGAAAUGGCCAAUGCUAAAACAGACAGAUCGAGGCUUGGCAACUGUAUUAUUCAUAUUUGCUUGAAUGGAAAAGGUGUACAUUUAUACAAACAAUGUUAAACAUGUAUUUUUUUUCCCCUGGAAGAAUGGCACUCACCAAAACAAUUUCUAUCCUAAAAUAAUAUAUUUGCUUUUUAUUUAACGGUAUUGGUUUAAGAUAUUUUAUCAGUUUGCAUUUUGUUUUUGAUCGAACUGUCGUUUUUGUGUAGACCCAUCGAUAAAUGACUCGUAAAACAAGUUAGACGGGGAAAAAAAUGUUGGAGACUGUUUUUCUAAAUUCUUUGCUUGACCGCAGCAUCUUUGCAGGAUUUUAGUUGAACAUGUACUUUACAAAAUAUAAUAACUUGACAAGUGUCCUUUUGUAUGUGACCUGUACUAUAUGGCUUCAUUUAAUAUUGUGUACAUAUGAUUUACUUUGUUUUAUGUAGCGUUAUAGAUCUAGAUUUUGUACAAAAUGGUCCUCUGUACAGAAUAAAACAUCAAUAGCAAUGACAAGAAGUCAAUGUGGCACAUACAUUCUUUUCCUCUUUCACUUGUAACUUUGCAUUAUUAAAUAUGUCAUAAUUGUAUCUGUUUGAACUCUUCAAGGUUUGUUCCCUAUUCAAAAUGUCUUUGACCAGAUUUCAGUCCAUAGCCUUUGAGCUUUUCUCACAGUUUCAAGUGGUGUACAUCUAUAUUGAAUGAAUAAAGAGAAUAUUUGAUUUUAUAUUUUCAACCAUA